rnacentral:rRNA from 1 species
GACGAACGCUGGCGGCGUGCUUAACACAUGCAAGUCGAACGUGAUUUUUAUGGAAAGCCCUUCGGGGACGGAAAUGAAAUGAAAGUGGCGAACGGGUGAGUAACACGUGAGCAACCUACCUUACACAGGGGGAUAGCCGUUGGAAACGACGAUUAAUACCGCAUGAGACCACAAAGCCACAUGGCUUAGGGGUAAAAGAUUUAUCGGUGUAAGAUGGGCUCGCGUCUGAUUAGCUAGUUGGAAGGGUAAAGGCCUACCAAGGCGACGAUCAGUAGCCGGUCUGAGAGGAUGAACGGCCACAUUGGAACUGAGACACGGUCCAAACUCCUACGGGAGGCAGCAGUGGGGAAUAUUGCACAAUGGGGGGAACCCUGAUGCAGCGACGCCGCGUGAGCGAAGAAGGUUUUCGAAUCGUAAAGCUCUGUCCUAUGAGAAGAUAAUGACGGAUCAUAGAGAAGCCCCG